rnacentral:rRNA from 1 species
UCCUACGGGAGGCAGCAGUGGGGAAUCUUGCACAAUGGGCGAAAGCUGAUGCAGCAACGCCGCGUGCGGGAAGACGGCCCUAGGGUUGUAAACCGCUUUCAGCAGGGAAGAAAAUGACGGUACCUGCAGAAGAAGGUGCGGCCAACUACGUGCCAGCAGCCGCGGUGACACGUAGGCACCAAGCGUUAUCCGGAUUUAUUGGGCGUAAAGAGCUCGUAGGCGGUUCGGUAAGUCGGGUGUGAAAACUCUGGGCUCAACCCAGAGAUGCCACCCGAUACUGCUGUGACUAGAGUGCAGUAGGGGAGCAGGGAAUUCAUGGUGUAGCGGUGAAAUGCGCAGAUAUCAUGAGGAACACCAGUGGCGAAGGCGCUGCUCUGGGCUGUAACUGACGCUGAGGAGCGAAAGCGUGGGUAGCAAACAGGAUUAGAUACCCUGGUAGUCCACGCCGUAAACGUUGGGCACUAGGUGUGGGUCUCAACCAACGAGAUCCGCGCCGUCGCUAACGCAUUAAGUGCCCCGCCUGGGGAGUACGGUCGCAAGACUAAAACUCAAGGAAUUGACGGGGCCCACAAGCAGCGGAGCGUGUUGCUUAUUGACACCAAGAACCUUACCUGGGUUUGACAUGUACCGAAAAGCUCUAGAGAUAGGGUGUCCUUCGGGGCGGUACACAGGUGGUGCAUGGCUGUCGUCAGCUCGUGUCGUGAGAUGUUGGGUUAAGUCCCGCAACGAGCGCAACCCUUAUCCUAUGUUGCCAGCAAGUCAUUUGGGGACUCGUAGGAGACUGCCGGGGUCAACUCGGAGGAAGGUGGGGAUGACGUCAAGUCAUCAUGCCCCUUAUGCCCAGGGCUGCAAACACGCUACAAUGGCCGGUACAAAGGGCUGCGAUCCCGCGAGGGUGACGAAUCCCACAAAGCCGGUCUCAGUUC